CACGUAGGGGGCAAGCGUUGUCCGGAUUUAUUGGGCGUAAAGAGCUACGUAGGCGGCUCAGUAAGUUCGGGUGUGAAACCUCCAGGCUCAACCUGGAGACGCCACCUGAUGACUGCUGUGGGCUAGGAGUCCGGUAGGGGGAGCGUGGGAAGUUCCUGGUGGUAGCGGUGAAAUGCGCAGAUAUCAGGAGGAACACCAGCGGCGAAGGCGGCGCUCGUGGGCCGAACUGACGCUGAGGAGCGAAAGCCAGGGAGCAAACGGG
rnacentral:rRNA from 1 species